UACGUAGGGUGCGAGCGUUGUCCGGAAUUACUGGGCGUAAAGAGCUCGUAGGCGGUUUGUCGCGUCUGCUGUGAAAACUCGGGGCUUAACCCCGGGCCUGCAGUGGGUACGGGCAGACUAGAGUGCGGUAGGGGAGACUGGAAUUCCUGGUGUAGCGGUGAAAUGCGCAGAUAUCAGGAGGAACACCGAUGGCGAAGGCAGCUUACUGGGCCGAUACUGACGCUGAGGAACGAAAGCGUGGGGAGCGAACAGG
rnacentral:rRNA from 1 species